UUUGUGCAGCUGAGUGGGGACUGCAGGGCCUGGAAACUCCAUCCAGCAGCAGCAGAGCCCGCAACGCAUUCCGCCUUAAACCGACCUUCCGGUACUCUACCUACCUACCUAACCCUCGAAGGCUAAAGCUACACGAUUUCCGCACGAGCAUGCCAAAUUCGGCGGCAGAAUCCAUCCACCCUUCAUGGACCACCAGCCCACAAUCGCCCCCGAAAAUCCGAGAGCGGAAGCCGGCGCAAGCCGCGAGACCCGGCCCUCGCCGGCCGGCCGACAGGGAAAAGAAAUAGUAGGCGCAACCCUAGCACAGGAGGGGGGUGAAAUUGGGCGGAGCGGGCGC
rnacentral:lncRNA from 1 species